UACGUAGGGAGCAAGCGUUGUCCGGAAUCAUUGGGCGUAAAGCGCGCGUAGGUGGCCCUGUAAGUCCGUUGUGAAAGUCAAAGGCUCAACCUUUGAAAGCCGAUGGAUACUGCAGGGCUAGAGUACGGAAGAGGCGAGUGGAAUUCCUGGUGUAGCGGUGGAAUGCGCAGAUAUCAGGAGGAACACCGAUGGCGAAGGCAGGUCUCUGGGCAUUAACUGACGCUGAGGAGCGAAAGCAUGGGGAGCGAACAGG
rnacentral:rRNA from 1 species